CCUACGGGGGGCAGCAGUGGGGAAUAUUGGACAAUGGGCGAAAGCCUGAUCCAGCCAUGCCGCGUGUGUGAAGAAGGCCUUCGGGUUGUAAAGCACUUUCAGUGGGGAAGAAAGCCUUGGGGCUAAUACCCUCGAGGAAGGACAUCACCCACAGAAGAAGCACCGGCUAACUCCGUGCCAGCAGCCGCGGUAAUACGGAGGGUGCGAGCGUUAAUCGGAAUUACUGGGCGUAAAGCGCGCGUAGGCGGUCUGAUAAGCCGGUUGUGAAAGCCCCAGGCUCAACCUGGGAACGGCAUCCGGAACUGUCAGGCUAGAGUGCAGGAGAGGAAGGUAGAAUUCCCGGUGUAGCGGUGAAAUGCGUAGAGAUCGGGAGGAAUACCAGUGGCGAAGGCGGCCUUCUGGACUGACACUGACGCUGAGGUGCGAAAGCGUGGGUAGCAAACAGGAUUAGAUACCCCAGUAGUC
rnacentral:rRNA from 1 species